CCGUGGUGGGAGGGAGGUAUCUCUGACGCACACAUUGCCAAGUAUUUUCCGCUGCAGAACUGAGAGGCCAAACCCAAUCUGAUCAGGUUGCUACUUCUGUCCUGCAUAGAAAUGACAUUAAUUGAAAAAGCCUACGUGAUGUACUGACAUUGCUCAGAGUCCAGAUCAACCCAUUCCUUUCUCUAGACCCUGGCUCUAUCCAACCCUGGCUUCACCUAAGCUAAUACUGAGAGGAGGAAGAUUAAAUACAUCUACAAUCAGGAAACUGGGACUGUUGCCAUUAAGUCUGUUUCGCAGUUGGCAGGAGAUGGACAAAGGAGGACUCUGAUCUGGAGGAUAACUCUUGUUGUCAUAUAUUUCAGUCAGCUUCUGAACAAGCACUGGACACCCUACCUUAUCAAUUUCUGCUGAGAUGUAAAAAGCUCCUGGUGCUUUGCCACUCAUGCCUAAUGGCAUCCCAUAAAUCUUCUUUUGGGAGAAAGUUGAGCUACCGAGGAAUUGACAACCUGAGGCAUAUAGUUAAUGGCUUCAGUACUGGUUGAUGACGGUCUGUUGAGAACACUAUGGAAAUGUUCAUCUCUCCAGGAUCAUGCCAAACCAAGACAGGUAGAAAGAAGAUGGGUUUUCUUCAAAGAUGAUUGUGCACUCAAUUAAACCUCCGAGACUGAAAUGCUACAGAAUAUGGAUCAAUUCUCUGUCAACUGUGCUAAUUUCAACUUGACAAGUAACACCAAGAAAAAAGGGUUCUCCACCAGCCAGCACCAUGUUAUUCAUAGGUUGAACCACUGGUUAUCGCAAUUGGAGAAACUUUGAAUGCUAUUCAUUUACCUUGACAGUGUACUUUCCAGGGAUGUUCACAUAGAUAAUGAGGUUGAUGCAUGCAUUGCCAGAACUAACAGCAUUUGGCAGGCUUCAAAAGACAUUGGGAGAGAAGACAUAUUAGGCUGCAUGCCAAACUGAAAGUCUUUCUUGUACUGACUUGACUGUUUUAUGCCUUUGAAACCUGGACAUUCUACCAGUGCCAUACCAGCAAACUUUAAGUGGUUGUUACAAAAUAAAAUGUGGACAAAGGCAUAAAACUUUUCUUCCCUUUUUCAAUUGUUAGAGCUAGGAGGAAUCAGUCAUGCAAGCUUAUUUUAUAUAAUUUCUUACUUUUACAAAACUUCUACAUCUAUUAUUUCCUUUACUACAUCCUACUAUCUCUAGGAAAAAUAGUACCAAAUCUAACCUUUUAAAUAAGAGUCUAAAAUUUUUUUAAGAAGGUUACUUUGAGCCAAGUUUUUUGCUACGUAGGUAUGUUUUAAAUUCAUUCCAGAGAAACUUUAUUCCAACUUCAUUGGUUUUUCAUCUUAUUUGAACAAAGUAAUAAAAUGUAAUACAGAGUCAACGAAUUAUAAUGGAUAGGUUUGACAGUCAAGGAGGCUCAGGUUUAAGUUUAUUCUAAAGCAUUGGUAAAAAUAUUUAAUUUCUCAUUGGCCCUUUGCCACUAAGUAACAGAAAUAUUUCAUAUCUUUUUUGGGAGAUAGUUUCAUCACUAGGAAUUUCCUAUAUUAGUAAACUCAGGAAUAAGCCUUCCCUCCCAACUGACCCCCUCAGCCCUCAAAAAAGGCUAUUAGAAAAUAGUCUUUUGUGUGUAUGAAACUGUUUCUAUCCAGAGUUCCCACUAAAAUCCUCAUCUUGUCAAAGUGAUUCUGAAAAUCUUUAAUACUCAACUUGAGCCUCCACUCUCCUCACCUAAAACUGAGAAUAAAAAAUGAAAAGACCAAGGAUUGAGACUUUUUUUCUUGAGGCCAUAUGACCUCAGAGUAGAGAAAUCUGGAAGGCUUUCCCCACCUCCCCCUCAAUAGCAUAGUCUUUCACUGGAAAUUAUGGGCAAAAGAAUCAGCAAAUGAAGCUUUAAAAGAUCAGCCAAAGCUGAUUCAGGCCUUUUCAAGGAUAUGACAGUUCUGGCUACACAACCAGUUGGAAAAAGGCUCUUUCCUGUGAUGUUGUUAGCCAAUUACAUAUUGUUCCCUUGUGUUUCACAAUCAAGAGUCUUCCUAAAAACAAAAUCAUCCUUCUCAUGGAGAGGUUACAUCAGUCAAACAAGCUGCUGGAGUCCCUGCCUUGAACCAACAUUUGUAGGUGGGAAAUUACUCCCAAAGUUUCAUAUAUUGGAUGAUAGAAAGCAGAGAAUAUCCACUCCCCCCCCCCCCCACCUUUGGCAAAUCCUCCAUUACACUGGAGUCUGGAUCUUGCAGGGGUUUAGCAGUUCUCUCAAACUAUAUCAGGGGAAAACCUAGCCAAUUGGUGGGCAUCAAUUUUUGGCUCAGUCCAACUUCCAUGAAAUUCUUGAUAUUUAAACAUUUUAAAAAUUACAGAAUUUUCAAGCUGAAAAAGAUCACCCACUUAUUCCCUCAAAAAGCAAUUUCACAAGAUGUAAGUUGAAAAGAGUAUAUUUUUUUAAAUCUAUCAUAUAACUUUCAUGGACAACUACCAGACAGGGGCAGUAUGCUGUAGCAUGCCCUGUUCUGUACACUAGAUAAAGUUCAGUUGUGGGGAGUCUGAUAUCUAAUGAGAGAAGAUGAGACUCCUGGUCUCGAAUUCUCAUAUUCAUUACCAUCCUGGGUAAGUCACUUAACCCCCAUUGUCUAGCCCUUACUACUCUCCUGCCUUGGAACCAAAACAUAGUAUUGAUUCCAAGAUGGAAGAUAAGGGUUUUAAGAAAGAAAGAAAGUCAGCUUUCAAAUCCUACCUCAGAUAUUUUCUAGCUGCGUAACCCUAAAUUAAUUGUUUAACUUUGCUCUAACUUAGUUUACCCCUCUCAGAGGGGUGCAUUAAGGAUCAAAUGAGCUAACAUUUAUUUAAGUGCUUUGCAAACCUUAAAGUAUCAUGUUAAUUCUAACUAUUAUUAUUUUUAUUAUCACUAAACACAAAAUGCAAAAAUAAAUUUAAUAAAAUAAAACAAAAAUACCAUGUAGUUCAGUAACAUAUUACUACAAUUACAAUGUAAUAAUUCAGGUUAAUACUUAGACCUCAUUAUAACAUAAAGCAGUUUUCAGGACUUACUAAAAAGGCAUUUUACACUUCACCUCUACCCUAACCAAACAACUCCCUAUAUUUGUUUGGUAAAAUGGCUAAUCAUGGGCUAAUACUUUUUUUAGUGGUCUUCUUACCCAGGAACUUUGCACUUCUUGAACUUAAGAUUUCCUCCAAACCUGACUUAGUCACUUGGAUGAUCAUGUUCAGAGAAACAGAACCCAACUUCAACAUAAAAUUCAAAAUCAAGAAAAAGAGUGGAAAAAUGAGCAAACAAGGAGACUCUUUUUUUUUAUUUUAUUUGGUCAAUUUCAAACAUUAUUCCUUGGUUACAAAAAUCAUAUUCUAUUCCUCCCUCUCCCUCCCCCCCCUUCCCAUAGCCAAUGCGCAAGUCCACUGGGUAUUACAUGUAUGAAACAAGGAGACUCUUAAAAAAAUGUGAAAGAAGAUUGUUACAAAUUUCAAACUAUAUUACAAAGUUAUAAAUCAUCAAAACAAUCUGGUAAAGAAGUAGAGUGGUGGAUUAGUAGACUAGUAAUACACAGUAGUAAAUUAUUAUAGUAAUCUAUUGUUUGAUAAUCCCAAAGAUCCAAGGUUUUGGUGCAAGAACUCACCAUUUGACAAAAAUUUCUGGGAAAACUGGAAAGCAAUUUGGCCGAAACUAGUUAUAGACCAACAUCUCACACUAUGAAACAAAAUAAGCUCAAAAUGGAUAAAUGAUUUGGACAUAAAGGAUGAUAUGAAUAAAUUAGGGUGAUACCACAAACAAAUUAAGGCAACAUGGAAAAACUUACUUCUCAGAUUUAUUAUGUAUUAUGACCAAAUAUGAGAAAGAACAUUACAAAAAAUGAAAUGGAUAAUUUUGAUUAUGUCAAAUUAAAAAGCUUUUACACAUACAAAACUAAUGCAACCAAAAUUAGAAGGAAAACAGGAGAAGGAAAAAAUUUUAUAGCAAGUUUUUCUGAUAAAGGACUCAUUUAUCAAAUAUAUAUGAAACUGACUCAAAGUUAUAAAAAUAAAAGCCAUUUCCCAAUUGAUAAAUGGUUAAAGGCUAUGAACAGGCAAUUUUCAUUUAGAAUAUUUUUCCAUGGUUAUAUGAUUCAUGAUUAUUUUCCUACUCCUCUUCCUUUCCCACUUCCUGAAAUUGACAAGCAUUGGGUUAUACAUGUAUCAUUGUUCAAAACCUAUUUCCAUGUUAUUCAUAUUGUAACAGUUGAAUUAGUUUCUCUACUAAAAGUAUUAUAUUUUUAGAGGUUUAUUAACAAUUAUUAGAAAUCAAGGAUACAAAAUAAUAAACCAUGUGCUCAUGGCUGAUUUAGCCAAAUUCAGAACCACCGCGGUUAGUCUACUCACUACAUCCUUGCAACCUCCCAGUACAGGAAGAGAGAGGAAGUAGGUGUUACAGCCAGUUUAAAUACAAAUUCUGUUCUCUCCCAGGUGGGAACUCAGGUGAGAUUAUAGGGAAUUCUGGGAAGUACCAAGGGCUUCUGGGAUUGAAGUCUGGAGUUCAAAUCUCCAUUUUUACAUCCCCUCAUUUGAUCGUUAUUGGGAAACCAGUUUCCCCAAAAGGAUCAUGAAAACAUAAUCAACUUAAAGAUUACAAUAAUUUGAGGAUAAGAGGGAAAAAAAACAAAACCAAUAAUUGCUAGACGCAUUGACAAAAACCAGUUGGGGGCAGUCCCCUUUGGCAUGAAAGUAUACAUAGAAAUAAAUGUUCAAUCAAUCAUACCCAGAGUUCAUUCUUGAUCUUCUCGUGCAGUUUGUGGUCUGAAGGCAUCUUCAUGGUGUCUUCUCCAAAUAGUUCAGUUUCUGGAUUCAGAGAGGUAGCAUUUUUCUUAACCUAAAAUUCUUCUCAAAGGGAAUUUAAACUUUGCAAUUUAAAAUAAUAAUAUUUUUAUAAUAUUUGCAAUAGAGUGAUCUUUUUAACACCAAAACCUUAAUCAUAUCCCCAUCAAAGUAAGAGACUGAUCAUAUGCUUUUCUUCUGCAUUUCUACUCCCAUAUUCUUUCUCUGGAUGUAGAUAGCGGUUUUUUUUUUUUAAUAAGUUCCUCUGGAUUGUCCUGAAUCUCUGUACUGCUGCUAGUAGAAAAGUCUAUUAUAUUUUAUUGUUCCACAAUAUAUUAGUCUCUGUGUACAAUGUU